ACGAACGCUGGCGGCGUGCUUAACACCUGCAAGUUGAACGGAAAGGCCCUGCUUUUGUGGGGUGCUCGAGUGGCGAACGGGUGAGUAACACGUGAGUAACCUGCCCUUGACUUUGGGAUAACUUCAGGAAACUGGGGCUAAUACCGGAUAGGAGCUCCUGCUGCAUGGUGGGGGUUGGAAAGUUUCGGCGGUUGGGGAUGGACUCGCGGCUUAUCAGCUUGUUGGUGGGGUAGUGGCUUACCAAGGCUUUGACGGGUAGCCGGCCUGAGAGGGUGACCGGCCACAUUGGGACUGAGAUACGGCCCAGACUCCUACGGGAGGCAGCAGUGGGGAAUAUUGCACAAUGGGCGGAAGCCUGAUGCAGCAACGCCGCGUGCGGGAUGACGGCCUUCGGGUUGUAAACCGCUUUCGCCUGUGACGAAGCGUGAGUGACGGUAAUGGGUAAAGAAGCACCGGCUAACUACGUG
rnacentral:rRNA from 1 species